AGGACGAACGCUGGCGGCGUGCCUAACACAUGCAAGUCGAACGAGGUUAAUCCGGUAGCAAUACUGGUGACUGCCUAGUGGCGAACGGGUGAGUAGCACGUGAGCAACCUGCCCCGAAGACCGGGACAACACCGGGAAACCGGUGCUAAUACCGGAUACCCCCACCUAAUCGCAUGAUCUGGUGAGGAAAUGGAUUCCGCUUCGGGAGGGGCUCGCGGCCUAUCAGCUAGUUGGUGAGGUAACGGCUCACCAAGGCUUCGACGGGUAGCUGGUCUGAGAGGACGAUCAGCCACACUGGGAUUGAGAACGGCCCAGACUCCUACGGGGGCAGCAGUGAGGAAUUUCGUCAAUGGGGCAACCCUGAACGAGCAACGCCGCGUGCAGGAGAAGGUUUCGGAUCGUAAACUGCUUUUCUCGGGGAAGAGAACGGACGGUACCCGAGGAAUCAGCCCCGGCUAACUACGCGCCAGCAGCCGC
rnacentral:rRNA from 1 species